GUGGGGAAUAUUGGACAAUGGGCGAAAGCCUGAUCCAGCCAUGCCGCGUGUGUGAAGAAGGUCUUCGGAUUGUAAAGCACUUUAAGUUGGGAGGAAGGGCAGUAAGUUAAUACCUUGCUGUUUUGACGUUACCGACAGAAUAAGCACCGGCUAACUUCGUGCCAGCAGCCGCGGUAAUACGAAGGGUGCAAGCGUUAAUCGGAAUUACUGGGCGUAAAGCGCGCGUAGGUGGUUUUGUAAGUUGGAGGUGAAAUCCCCGGGCUCAACCUGGGUACUGCCUCCAAAACUGCAUGACUAGAGUACGGUAGAGGGUAGUGGAAUUUCCUGUGUAGCGGUGAAAUGCGUAGAUAUAGGAAGGAACACCAGUGGCGAAGGCGACUACCUGGACUGAUACUGACACUGAGGUGCGAAAGCGUGGGGAGCAAACAGGAUUAGAUACCCGUGUAGUCC
rnacentral:rRNA from 1 species